UAUUGGAGAAGCGAUUUUUAUAGAAUUGAUUUUGAUUUGAAGAAUUAUGGCCUAUCUGAUCUAAAUUUUGGAAAAAGUGAUUUCUACAUAAUUAAUUUUGGCUUAAAAAAUUGAUUUUGAUUAAAAGUUCUAGAGUGUUUGGCUGAGCGUACAUGAAAAAUAAUUUUUCUAAAAUAAUUUUUUAAAACUGUUUGAUAAAAAAAUUUAUAAUAAGUUUUUGAUAAAUAUUAUUUUACAAAUAAUAAUUUUUUUGCGAAAUUUAAUAUUAAAAUAAUUCAAAAUUU
rnacentral:lncRNA from 1 species